rnacentral:rRNA from 1 species
AGUUUGAUCAUGGCUCAGGACGAACGCUGGCGGCGUGCCUAAUACAUGCAAGUCGAACGAACUCUGGUAUUGAUUGGUGCUUGCAUCAUGAUUUACAUUUGAGUGAGUGGCGAACUGGUGAGUAACACGUGGGAAACCUGCCCAGAAGCGGGGGAUAACACCUGGAAACAGAUGCUAAUACCGCAUAACAACUUGGACCGCAUGGUCCGAGCUUGAAAGAUGGCUUCGGCUAUCACUUUUGGAUGGUCCCGCGGCGUAUUAGCUAGAUGGUGGGGUAACGGCUCACCAUGGCAAUGAUACGUAGCCGACCUGAGAGGGUAAUCGGCCACAUUGGGACUGAGACACGGCCCAAACUCCUACGGGAGGCAGCAGUAGGGAAUCUUCCACAAUGGACGAAAGUCUGAUGGAGCAACGCCGCGUGAGUGAAGAAGGGUUUCGGCUCGUAAAACUCUGUUGUUAAAGAAGAACAUAUCUGAGAGUAACUGUUCAGGUAUUGACGGUAUUUAACCAGAAAGCCACGGCUAACUACGUGCCAGCAGCCGCGGUAAUACGUAGGUGGCAAGCGUUGUCCGGAUUUAUUGGGCGUAAAGCGAGCGCAGGCGGUUUUUUAAGUCUGAUGUGAAAGCCUUCGG